rnacentral:lncRNA from 1 species
AUGGCCCAGGGAGUGCAGUUAGCCAUUCCCCAGAGGCCCCGCUCCUCUGUGCUGUCCUCAGUGUCACCGAUUUGCAUCCUCAGGCCUUGCACCAUGUCCAGAGCACACCCUCAGCCCGGUCAGCCCUGCCCAGGGGGAGCCAAAAGAAGGUCAGACUUCCCAGCACCAGCGAGACUCCGAAGCCAGAGCAACCCCACCCGAAACAAGCGCUGGGCCGCCUGCCAGCACCAGCGUUUUGUCCUCCAUCAAAGAGGAGGAAGAAUCUUCAGAUGGAGAGUCACGGUCCCCUCCCCGGGAUGUCCCGCCCGGCCCAGGGCCAGGUCACCUAUGGCCCUGUUCUUCCCCCACCACCCACUGGCCUGGCUGGAAAAGUGCUGCUUGAAACAAGCUUCCUGUCACGAGGAGUGUGGUCUGGUGACAGAGACACGACCUCACCCACCACCCUGUGAAGCGGCCCAGCCCCACAGCCUCUCACAUCUUACAGUUUGAAUGUGGUGCGAUUUAAAUGUAGCUCCGCUCAGAGCCUUGUAUUUUCUGUGACCCGAGUGUACACUCCAAUAAGCAGUAAAAAGAAAAAAAAAAAGCCAUUAUUGGCGUUCCUGCUGUGGCGCAGCAAGUUAAAAACGUGGUGCAGCCAUAGCUGUGGCGUAGGUUGCAGCUAUGGCUCAGAUUUGAUCCCCAGGCAUGUCAUGGGUGCGGCGAAAGGAAGGAAGGAAGAAAUACAAAAAUAUACUCUGGACCAAUAGAAAGAAAUCAGCUGCCCCGCCCAUUCCCUCCUGGUUCCCCCUCCAGUGGGAGGCAGACAUCCCCCUCGGGGCGGUGGCGCAGCCGCAGGUGGGCUUCAGAUGAAGACUUCUGGGAGCCUGGACUCCCCCCCCCCCCCCCCCCCGCAAAGAAGGCCUGAGACGUCACUAAUUCCUAAGCCCGGGAUGAGGACAGCGGCAGCCUCUUAAAUGAACCAAGGUUUAACCUCAAAGUUUAGAUGAUUCUUUGGCUCAAGGACCAAAUGUAAAACAGGGGCGUUCCUAACAUCAGAGCAAAGUUCUGCACGUGUUAUUUGGGUGAUGACUGGGUGGACGGUGAGCAGGUGCUGCCCUGGAGGUUCGCCAGUUCAGGGCCCUCCUCCUCCGUGACCUUCCGGCUUGUGGAUUAAGCUCACACUUCAGCAAGAAUAGAAACUACUCUCGUGCUGGGCCGUGGAAGUUGUCCGCAGAGGGCUGAAGGUUUUUAUUCUGAUAGGCAGAGGGCAGGCAAGGUUCGCUGUCCGCCCUUGAGCAGACCACGCUGCUGCCAGGGGCUGGACGAGGCCGGAGAGGAGGAGGGUCAGGGGCCACUUCAGAGGAAACCAGCUGAGCCCCCGUUGGAGCAUGGGGGGAAAGGCAGUGUUCCAGGCGGGGCUCCAAGGUCAGGACCUGCCUUCCCAGCGUUAGGGACCCCUGGGAGCUGCUGCCGAGACCCGUUCCUGCCUCAGUCCCACCUCAGAGUCGCA